GAUGAACGCUGGCGGCGUGCUUAACACAUGCAAGUCGAACGGAAAGGCUCCUGCUUGCAGGGGUACUCGAGUGGCGAACGGGUGAGUAACACGUGGGUGAUCUGCCCUGCACUUCGGGAUAAGCCUGGGAAACUGGGUCUAAUACCGGAUAGGGCCACAUUUUGGAUGGUGUGGUGGAGAGUUUUUCGGUGUGGGAUGGGCUCGCGGCCUAUCAGCUUGUUGGUGGGGUAAUGGCCUACCAAGGCGUCGACGGGUAGCCGGCCUGAGAGGGUGUACGGCCACCUUGGGCCUGAGGUACGGCCCAGACUCCUACGGGGGGCAGCAGUGGGGAAUAUUGCACAAUGGGCGCACGCCUGAUGCAGCGACGCCGCGUGGGGGAUGACGGCCUUCGGGGUGUAAACUGCUUUCGCUAGAGACGAAGCGCAAGUGACGGUACCUGGAGAAGAAGCACCGGCUAACUACGUG
rnacentral:rRNA from 1 species